GAUGAAGAACGCAGCGAAAUGCGAUAAGUAAUGCGAAUUGCAGAAUUUCCGUGAGUCAUCGAAUCUUUGAACGCACAUUGCGCCCGCCAGUAUUCUGGCGGGCAUGCCUGUCUGAGCGUCAUUUCAACCCUCAUGCCCCUAGGGCGUGGUGUUGGGGAUCGGCCAAAGCCCGCGAGGGACGGCCGGCCCCUAAAUCUAGUGGCGGACCCGUCGUGGCCUCCUCUGCGAAGUAGUGAUAUUCCGCAUCGGAGAGCGAUGAGCCCCUGCCGUUAAACCCCCAACUUUCCAAGGUUGACCUCAGAUCAGGUAGGAAUACCCGCGGAACUUAAGCAUAUCAAUAAGCGGAGGA
rnacentral:misc_RNA from 1 species